AUGAAGGGGUAUGGUCUUGGGGGCCUUCGAUGGACUUGGCAAAAAAAAACCCUGAAGGCGCUGCUCGUUGGACUUGUGACAGAGGUCAACAGGGAGGUCAGGCAGGAACUCGUCAGGCAGCAUGGGAGGCAGGAGAAAAGGCACGGAGGCGCUGCUGGAGAUGGUGGCGGAGCGCCCUACUCGUCCUUCAGGUCACCGGUGGCUGGGUCCUGCUUGCCGAGGUCCGAUAACCGACGCGUGGGCGCAUGGCAUGCUGCUGGUGAUGCUUGUCGCAGGCACGCGCGAGGAGGAAGGAUAGGAGACCGGUUCAGUGGCGAGGACGAUGCAAGGGAGACCCGGCAGGCUGCGGUGCCCGGCGGCCCUGGCGAUGCGGCGGGGCGGCGAGGAAGUGAGGCUUGGGAAGGUCCAAAAAUGUUCGUAUUUUUGGUGGAGCUCCGGAAUAUGAUGAAAGAAUAUAUGGCAAGGUUGGAGACCAAGGAUUAA
rnacentral:rRNA from 1 species